CAAGGAGCUGCCACCAGCACCUGGCCGGCUCAUUGUCUGUGCAGCACCCUCCCGAGAGAAAUGACAUUCCUCUUUCCCAAAGCAAGUUGGUUUCAAUGGAAGCCUUUUCUUUCUUCACUUCCACGCAAUUUAAAAACAAACACAGCAUGGAACUCACCAGAGCCACUUCCCUGCAGUUUUCUGAUGACAACCCAGUGAGCUUGGACCAUCAGUUACCUUGCUCAAAUGGAAGAUGGAUGAACUACUUUGCUUUUCAGGCCCCCAAGCAAUGCAGCUUUGGCAAGGAGUAGGAGUCACCACUAAAAUAAAUCCAUUUUUCAGGGGUGACAUAUUUUGUAUUUAUUCCAAUUUGUAAAUGUCUUCCAGUUCGGAGGAAAAUGUAAGGAAAUUCCCUGGAAGAUGUUUUGAAAUUUAAUUAAAAGACAGUUUGAAAACAUA